rnacentral:misc_RNA from 1 species
UCUCCGUUGGUGAACCAGCGGAGGGAUCAUUACUGAGUAUAUCCUACUACUCUCAACCCUUUGCGAACGUACCUGUUCUGUUGCUUCGGCAGGCCGUCCCCUGGGAGGGGCAGCCAGCGCCUGCCGGAGGCCCACAAUUCUAUGUUUUAUAGCGAAGUCUUCUCUCUGAGUUAUUGUACUGUAAUAAGUCAAAACUUUCAACAACGGAUCUCUUGGUUCUG